AAAAUGGCGCCGAGGAAGAAAACUCAAAAUAAGGAAGCGAAAGUGUUUUUUGUUUACAUUAUUAAUUUAAGUGUGAACGACAAAACAGCAGAGGACAUGGGCAAAAUAUGAACAGACAUGGAGAAAAGGUUGGAAUCGCUCUGAUGGCGCCAUGACUGUAGUCGCUGAGGCUUGUGGAAGCGCCCCCCCGCCCCAGUGCCCCCCCGACCCUGUGAAAGCAAGAAGGUAUGUAAGCUAAGGUGAGUGUAGUAGUAAUUAAAGUUCAAUUGAUCCAACAAAGCCUUCGUUUUCCCUCGCCGUCUUGCAGCGAUAUCGGCCUCUCAUUAGAUUUAUGCAGCCACUCCAAAAUAGGGAUUUUAUGAUGAAACAUUAAAAUUGCAUGUAAUCGUUUUUU